CAUCUAGGCGGCUUAUUAAGUCAGAAGUGAAAUACCGGGGCUCAACCCCGGGACUGCUUUUGAAACUGAUUCGCUAGAAUACGGGAUAGGAGGGCGGAACUACAAGUGUAGAGGUGAAAUUCGUAGAUAUUUGUAGGAAUGCCGAUGACGAAGGUAGCUCUCUGGACCGACAUUGACGCUGAAGUGCGAAAGCUAGGGUAGCAAACA
rnacentral:rRNA from 1 species